rnacentral:rRNA from 1 species
ACCCGCACAAGCGGUGGAUGAUGUGGUUAAUUCGAUGCAACGCGAAAACCUUACCACCUUUGACAUGUACGGAAGUUGCCAGAGAUGGCUUCGUGCUCGAAAGAGAGCCGUAACACAGGUGCUGCAUGGCUGUCGUCAGCUCGUGUCGUGAGAUGUUGGGUUAAGUCCCGCAACGAGCGCAACCCUUGUCAUUAGUUGCUACGAAAGGGCACUCUAAUGAGACUGCCGGUGACAAGCCGGAGGAAGGUGGGGAUGACGUCAAGUCCUCAUGGCCCUUAUAGGUGGGGCUACACACGUCAUACAAUGGCUGGUACAAAGGGUUGCCAACCCGCGAGGGGGAGCCAAUCCCAUAAAGCCAGUCGUAGUCCGGAUCGCAGUCUGCAACUCGACUGCGUGAAGUCGGAAUCGCUAGUAAUCGUGGAUCAGCAUGUCACGGUGAAUACGUUCCCGGGUCUU